CCUACGGGAGGCUGCAGUGAGGAAUAUUGGUCAAUGGGCUUACGCCUGAACCAGCCAAGUCGCGUGAGGGAAGACUGCCCUAUGGGUUGUAAACUUCUUUUAUAAAGGAAUAAAACGAGGCACGUGUGCCUUUUUGCAUGUACUUUAUGAAUAAGGAUCGGCUAACUCCGUGCCAGCAGCCGCGGUAAUACGGAGGAUCCGAGCGUUAUCCGGAUUUAUUGGGUUUAAAGGGAGCGUAGAUGGGUUGUUAAGUCAGUUGUGAAAGUUUGCGGCUCAACCGUAAAAUUGCAAUUGAUACUGGCAGUUUUGAGUACAGUUGAGGUAGGCGGAAUUGGUGGUGUAGCGGUGAAAUGCUUAGAUAUCACGAAGAACCCUGAUUGCGAAGGCAGCUUACUAAACUGUGACUGACAUUGAUGCUCGAAAGUGUGGGUAUCAAACAGGAUUAGAUACCCCUGUAGUC
rnacentral:rRNA from 1 species